rnacentral:rRNA from 1 species
CCAGACUCCUACGGGAGGCAGCAGUGGGGAAUAUUGUACAAUGGGCGGAAGCCUGAUGCAGCAACGCCGCGUGCGGGAUGACGGCCUUCGGGUUGUAAACCGCUUUCGCCUGUGACGAAGCGUGAGUGACGGUAAUGGGUAAAGAAGCACCGGCUAACUACGUGCCAGCAGCCGCGGUGAUACGUAGGGUGCGAGCGUUGUCCGGAUUUAUUGGGCGUAAAGGGCUCGUAGGUGGUUGAUCGCGUCGGAAGUGUAAUCUUGGGGCUUAACCCUGAGCGUGCUUUCGAUACGGGUUGACUUGAGGAAGGUAGGGGAGAAUGGAAUUCCUGGUGGAGCGGUGGAAUGCGCAGAUAUCAGGAGGAACACCAGUGGCGAAGGCGGUUCUCUGGGCCUUUCCUGACGCUGAGGAGCGAAAGCGUGGGGAGCGAACAGGCUUAGAUACCCUGGUAGUCCACGCUGUAAACGGUGGGUACUAGGUGUGGGGUCCAUUCCACGGGUUCCGUGCCGUAGCUAACGCUUUAAGUACCCCGCCUGGGGAGUACGGCCGCAAGGCUAAAACUCAAAGGAAUUGACGGGGGCCCGCACAAG